GUCUCUUCUGAAGAGUGACCUAUUAUUGAACCAUCACCUCAAACCGCACAGCGCAACAACAAAAACAAGCUGACACCAUCGCGUGGUAAAGCACAGCGAGCUCCGGCCCUCGGAGUGCCUGAGGAGUUAUUUCAGGGUUGGAAAGGGGGAACAGCGUCACCGUGGCAACGAUGUCUCACUUGUGUCUGCAGCAGAUGCUUCCCCUAACGAGCUGAUUGUGCACUUGAACAUUCUGAAGAUGCGUCUCUUCUCUGCGAUGACCGUCGUCUUUUUAUUUGAAGGUAAAUGUGAGUAGAAACUCCCAGCCAGAGUUAGAGGGAGUGGUUUAAAGGCUAUAUUUAAUUUAGGUUAUCCUGCUCCAAACAGCCGUCAAACAUUUCAGCGUGUAGUGGAAAUUAUGUCUACCUGGAAAAACAAAAUGAAGCGGGAGGAAAAAAAACAAAAAAAGGGGCCACUGGGAGUUCGGUGAGACUCUCAGCAGACCGACCUUCUACAAAUAAAAAGUCACGGUUCACAAAAUGAGAUUCAACCGACUAAACCGUUAAUUCUGCACCAUGAGUAACUGUAUAAUCCCCCCCCUCUCUUAUAUUUGAUAUUUCAAAGCCUCGGCCCUGUUUAAACCUCUUUCUUUAUAUUCUGCUUGGCUUUUCAGCCCCCGUACGUCCUCUGAACACUGAUUUCUUUUUGCAUG
ensembl:lncRNA